UACAGAGGUCUCAAGCGUUGUUCGGAUUCAUUGGGCGUAAAGGGUGCGUAGGUGGCGCUGUAAGUCGGGUGUGAAAUUUCGGAGCUUAACUCCGAAACUGCAUUCGAUACUGCGGUGCUUGAGGACUGGAGAGGAGACUGGAAUUCAUGGUGUAGCAGUGAAAUGCGCAGAUAUCAGGAGGAACACCAAUGGCGAAGGCAGCUCGCUGGGACGGUACUGACGCUGAGGCGCGAAAGCGUGGGGAGCAAACAGG
rnacentral:rRNA from 1 species